rnacentral:rRNA from 1 species
GAUGAACGCUGGCGGCGUGCCUAAUACAUGCAAGUCGAGCGAACAGACGAGGAGCUUGCUCCUCUGACGUUAGCGGCGGACGGGUGAGUAACACGUGGAUAACCUACCUAUAAGACUGGGAUAACUUCGGGAAACCGGAGCUAAUACCGGAUAAUAUAUUGAACCGCAUGGUUCAAUAGUGAAAGACGGUUUUGCUGUCACUUAUAGAUGGAUCCGCGCCGCAUUAGCUAGUUGGUAAGGUAACGGCUUACCAAGGCAACGAUGCGUAGCCGACCUGAGAGGGUGGUCGGCCACACUGGAACUGAGGCACGGUCCAGACUCCUACGGGAGGCAGCAGUAGGGAAUCUUCCGCAAUGGGCGAAAGCCUGACGGAGCAACGCCGCGUGAGUGAUGAAGGUCUUCGGAUCGUAAAACUCUGUUAUUAGGGAAGAACAAAUGUGUAAGUAACUAUGCACGUCUUGACGGUACCUAAUCAGAAAGCCACGGCUAACUACGUG